CAAAAAUCAGACAAAACUGGAGCGAGGAAUAUAAAGGGAUGGUUUUAUUAAACAUAUGAUGGAUAAUUGUAAAAACCUUGCAGAUCAUAGCCGCCCCUAGCAGGAGUUUGAGCGCGGGAAUUCUUGGUGUGACACUAAUCCUAUAAGCCAUAUCAGCUUCCGUUCCACAGGGAAUAUUCAAAUAUGCUAAAAUUCGAGAGUUCAUGUUACGUUCUUCAUUCGUGCUACGUAUUUCGGGGAAAUAGCAUGUCACAGAUCCACCUGCCAACUUCUGCUUUAUGCAAUAUCACCAUUAGACAUUUGACUAUGUAAGUAGACUAUAAACUUGUACAAUUGGUCAUUCUUUAUUGCAAUAUCAUACGGAAGUCGCGAGCCCGUGACUCGGUUAUACUAUGCUUCGCAACAUGCAUGGUUAUAGUUGGAUGCAUAUUAGUAAUAUUUGCCAACGAUUCGACGAACUCAAGCAAAUGCGCCACCUGUCAGAUCUCUUCUAAAUACUAUAAUACAAUUACAACAUAAUUUAAAGUCGUAACUUGGUAUUUAUUGCUGGUUUAUGUUCAGUUGUUUACGAUGUAUUUGUUUGUGGUAUGCGAUAUUGCGGAACAAUACGUUUUAAUUAAAAUUUAAAGUAGAUGAUAUUUUAACGCACUGAGUGGCUGUUGGUACAUUACACGAAAGCGGUAUAAAUAAUUGCAGCUUUGUACGCACUGAUUUAGUGUAAAUGUUUAUACCAUUUUUAAGUUAGUCAAACACCAGAUAUACGCCCAGUAAGUAUAUAUUUGAAACAUCUAGCUAUAACGAUUGGUCAAUCUAUUUUGUGUUUCCCUAACAAAUCGGUGUCUACAGAGCUGCAAUUAUUACACCAUGUUUUAGUAACACCCAGAAAUUUAGAUUGCCCGAAAACAUCGUAGGCCUAACUUCAAUACUAAAAUUCGAGUGCAAUUUUUACAAAUAUAUAUUGGCAAACUUUAUUCAAACAAAGCUGGUGCAUAGAGUACAAAACAUAUUAAAUUUACAAGAAAGACUACAUUAAAAAUUAGAAUUAUACUAGUUAUAACUGAUCAAAAAUUGUUAGGAUAUCGAAGCAAUACUUGGCUACCAUAUUGUCACCACGGAUUGUCUUUCAUGUAAUAUCAUACAUAUACAUACAUUAUUUAAUAUCUAUAGUGAACUCGCGUUGUCAUGCAAACAUGCCCCUCGCAGGUUAUCGGAAUAAACUAAAUUCAUGGAAUCUGCGUCGCAGGCAACUGCGGAGGACAGAAGGAGGAGUAUAAUUGCUUAUAUUUGUACUUUUCUUAGCGUCGAAUGCUAUUUUUCUUAGGUGACAUGUCUAUCAUGGCUAUAGAAACUCAUUUUGCAUAAUGCUUUAUUACAUUUUUAGAGUGACUGUCAUUUCUCUUAAUUCUCGUACACGGCUUUAUUAAACAGCAGGCUAGAACAUAUAUCUACACUGGUACAGACAGUUCAAGAUAAUACCAAUAGCAAAUUUCCGCUUAGUAUAUACGUAAAUGGGACAAGAUUUUUCCUAAGUCCUAACAUAUUUAGCCUACCUGUUGAUAUCUGUGCAGUGCGCAUUGCUCAUAUAUACAAACAUACACAUCCAUGGAGACAGCUAAAUUACAAUAUUAUUAAUUAAUACUAUUAACUGUUAAUAUCACGAACAGUGCUAUUUAAUGCGGUAUACAUGUACAAGCUUACUGAUCUACAUGUAUCUAUGAUAAGCUUCGUUUCGUUCCGACUUUUAAUUCACUAAAUUCAAUAUACUGUAUUUCGUUUAGGUUGUCCUUUUAAAGUCAAAACGCGAAACCGCAAAACACAUCAUGGAGCAUAAUGGGUGCAUAUACUAUCUAUAUUGGCGCCAAGAAUGUCCAUGUUCGAAACGAUACAAAGAAGUAGAAGCAUCCAGAAACAGACGUAAAUACGGUAAUCUUGCUUUU